GUGGGGAAUAACGGAUCGAAAGGUUCGCUAAUACCGCAUGGGGUCGCGAGACCAAAGGGGAAUUCUAACGAAUUCUUCGCUUUAAGAGGAGCCUGCGCUCGAUCAGGUAGUUGGUGAGGUAAGGGCUCACCAAGCCGAUGACCGAUAGCUGUUCUGAGAGGAAGAUCAGCCACACUGGGACUGUGACACGGCCCAGACUCCUACGGGAGGCAGCAGCGAGGAAUAUUGCACAAUGGAGGCAACUCUGAUGCAGUAACGCCGAGUGCGGGACGAAGACCUUCGGGUUGUAAACCGCUUUUUGUAGAGACGAGUGAGGACGGUAUCUAUAGAAUCAGUCUCGGCUAACUACGUGCCAGCAGCCGCGGUAAGACGUAGGAGGCGAGCGUUAUCCGGAUUCACUGGGCGUAAAGCGCAUGUAGGCGGUUGGACAAGUCAUGUGUUAAAGCCCCUGGCUCAACUGGGGGAGGUCAUGUGAGACUGUUUGACUGGAGGGCUGCAGAGGCACGUGGAACUCCCGGUGUCGCGGUGGAAUGCGUAGAGAUCGGGAAGAACACCCGUGGCGAAGGCGACGUGCUGGGCAGUUUCUGACGCUGAGAUGCGAAAGUGUGGGGAGCAAACGGGAUUAGAUACCCCGGUAGUCCACACUGUAAACGAUGAACCCUAGGUGUGGGGGGGUCAAACCCUCCGUGCCGAAGCCAACGCGUUAAGGGUUCCGCCUGGGGACUAUGAGCGCAAGCUUAAAACUCAAAGGAAUUGACGGGGGCCCGCACAAGCAGCGGAGCGUGCGGUUCAAUUCGAUGCGACACGCAGAACCUUACCAGGGUUUGACAUGCAGGUGGUAGGGAACGGAAACGGGACCGACUCGCAAGAGAGCCUGCACAGGUGAUGCAUGGCUGUCGUCAGCUCGUGCC
rnacentral:rRNA from 1 species